UUAUGCUCGCUGUGCCAUUGCAAAAUCAAUGGACGGGUUUGACAGCCUGUUAC
rnacentral:ncRNA from 1 species